UUGGACCCCAUCUGACUUUCUAUAAAAACAUCCCCAACCAACCUGUAUAGAAAAUUCCAAGAGGAUUACCACCAUCAACCCAAAAGCCAAGAAUUGAGACUAAGACUGGAGGAACAGCUGCAGAAUUACUCAUCUCUGCCAGUGGCUCUAGGCCUUCUGUUGGACAAGAAAAUUCCUUCAAAUUGUAUCAUCCCUCUCAGCCUCCCAUCAAUUCCUCACUAUGUGUACGAAGACCAAAUGUCCAAAGGCCACAUUCUCAGGUUUUUGCAAAACUUGAAGUUCGGGGGAAAGUAUUCAAUUUACUGAAGUAUGUAAAACAACCCUGAUAGAUAGCUUUUAACUUUUAUGCAACCCUUGACUGUUAUUAAAGUG
rnacentral:lncRNA from 1 species